CUUUUCUACACCCUUCGACUCAGGCUUCCAUCUUUCUUGCUUGCGAAUAUUUGCAUCGUUUGUCUUCAGGUAUGCAUCUCAUCAACUUUUUAACAGAUCUUUUGGUCUUUAUUUCAUGAAUUUGAUUGUUGGCUGGGAGAUUUUUCGUGCUUUGUAGAGUUGUGUUGAUUUUUUUGGUUAUUUUGAUUUCAGGUUCUUGGGUAAUCUCUAAUGGUUUAUUUAGUUAUUUUUUAGGAAUUUGGGUUCAUUUAUUUGAUUCCUUUGAUUUUAGGUUUUUGGAUAAAGCAUUGGAAAGCAAAGACUGAGCAUGUUUUUUUAUUUUUUUAUUUAUUUUUUUAUAUUGAAUUGAUGGCAGCUUUCCAAAUUGAUAGAUUUCAGGUUUGCCAAAUUCUGUAACGAAGCAAUAAAGGAUCAAAAGCUACAGAAUUUUUGUCCUUUUACAGAGGAAAAACUAUUUUGACAAUAUAUAUAAUGGAUAGGAAUAAUAAAGAAACAGUUAUAAGGCAUCAAUAUUUUUGUCCUUGGUAUUGACCAUCAAAUUAGUCUUUGUACCCUAAUAAUGGUUGAUCUAAGGCAUAGGUCUGCAAAAUGGAAAACUCUUUCUAACCAUUCAUGUGAUACUGCAUUAGACAAUUGUCUGAGUACUCAGGCCUCUGCAUUAGACAUUGUAUUUUAGGAAAAUUUGACAACUUUGAGGCAGACUGCAUGUUUUGACCCAGUACCUCAACUCUUUUUUUGGUACUGAACUCUAGCCUUUUGAAGGAUUUUGGAUGGUGGGGUAAUGCUGAUUUAGAAAACUUAGCCCAUUGUGAACUAUGAAAGCAAUAGAAGAGCUCUUAGCCUAUUGUUCACGUUUUCCCCAACUCAUGCCACGGCUUGGCACCAGAAUCUAUCCAGGGACCUAACAGAGAGUAUAAUCGUUACAUUGUAACAUGGCAUUCUGACUGAAAAUAGAUAGGAAAUAGAUAGAUUUCAUGAUAAAUUUGAAUUCAGAUUUGUAUCAUGGAAUACACAAAAUUGUAAGUGAACAUAAAUCUAGGUCAUAAACCAUUUGUCAUUUACAUAACUCAGUGUGCUGGAAGUUUGAACUUUUGAUGACUUUUGGAAUUACAAAAUUAACAUAAAACGUAACAUAUCUUUUACUUCUUACCAGAAAGAUUUCUGUGCUCUCUUGCAUCAAUAGUGCCAGAGCACCCUGUCUUUACUUGACAUCUUCUGACAUUUGAUGAACCACUAAGUGAGCAUGGAAUAGCUUUAGAAAAUUCAGCUAUCUUCAUGCUAAGGGAUUUCAUGUUUGUAGCAAUUUUAGGAUAUGAGCUAGACGCUGACCUCCCAGCUUCUCCUCGCGCCCUUCUACCACUUCCAUUGCUGAAGAAGUUGACCUUCUUCUUAAAAUCGCGCGAAUACCACUCCUCCUUGGCCUCCUUGGGAAGCUCAUGAAAACCUCGAACACCUUUGAGCACCUCAUCCAUGACAGCAAUUGGAAUUCCAUGAUUCACAAUCUGAAAGAAACCCCAUUCUUCAGCUGCUUUUCGAAGGUCGUUGAUGAUCUCUUUUCGCCUGUCGCAGAUGUCGACAUCCUUGAGAUCAAUGACAGGAACUUGGAGGUUGGAGUCAAGGCCAUUGUUUUGGUUGGGGGAAGGUAGGGUCUCUGGAGGGUGUCUGAACAUUCUUGGGAGCUUGGUCACCCCAGCGUCUACCAGGCCUUUGACACCAGCUUUUGUUUCAUCGAAUUGUUUCAAUUCCUUCUCCAGCUCACAGUCCACAACUGCCAUUUUGAAUUCUUUCUUUUUGAUUAGUGGAAAACAAGUUUAAUGGUUUGUGGCAGUGCAAGUUUAUCUUGCUACUUAUAUAGAGAUUCAAGAGAGAACAAAAGAAUUCAAACAUUCUUCUGUUUUACUUGGAGAAAAAAGAUGAAGAUAAUGAUGAAGCCGGCGUUGAAGAAUUCAUGAUUUUUACACACACGCAACGACAAUAGUUAAUAUUGUUAAAUAAAAAAGGCAAUCGGUAUUCGGUACUAAUGAGUUUUUGUGCGGACAUGUUCUUUAAUUUCUGCAGAAUUCAGAAAUUUCAAGGAUUAAUAUAUAGAAGCUGAUACAAUGAGGCCAACCAUUUUCUUGCAUUUUUUGGUGGGAAUAUUCGUUAGCUUGAGUGCUUUCUGCAUCAUUAAUGCAGAAGACCCAUAUUUGUAUUAUACAUGGAUAGUUACAUAUGGACUUGAGUUGUAGUUUCAUUUAAGUUGCCAAAACAAUAUAAAGUAGGUAUAAAUUAGGUAUAAAUUAGGUCAAAAUGCUUCUGUAGAGGACUGUUCUGUAUGUAUGGAAUUUUCAUCUUUGUGGAAAUAUGAAUGGUAUGUUAGAAAGUGAAUUCAUAUAGACUGUAUAGUUGGAAUUUUGAGUCCUUAGGUUUAUUUUUGUGCAAAGUCUUCUGUUAGAAGAUUGAUUGAAGAGCUAUUUCUUCCCUUUUUCAGUCUCUCUUCUAUCACUUGAAAGGCUAAAGCACCUGCAAAGGCAUAAAUUAUAGCUCAUGAGAGCAAUACUUUUUUUGUAUGAAUAUUUUUAAAGGAUGAGACAUAGGAGGAUCUUUGAAAAUGAUGGUCUAGAAUGGAUAUUUUGCAGACCAAAGUUUGAGAGGUCUGUUAUUGGGAAUGCAUAAUUGUAUCCGAAAGCUUCCCAUGAUGAACUUAAGAUCUUUGAAAAUUAUGCAUAAUUGCAUAAUUGGUUGUUGGUUAGGAGAUUUUUCGUCCUUUGUAGAGUUGGGUUCAUUUAUUUGGUUAUUUUGAUUUUAGGUUCUUGGGUAAUCUAUAAUGCUUUAUUUAGUUAUUUUUUACGAAUUUGGGUUCAUUUAUUUUGUUACUUUGAUUUCAGGUUUUUGGAUAAAACAUUGGAAAGCAAAGAUUAAACAUGCUUUUUUUUUUAUUGAAAUUUUUUUCUGUUUUUUAUCUGCUGUUGGCUGUUGCAUUCUAAAUUUUUUUUGUUUUUUAUAUGCUAUUGGCUGUUGCAUUCUGCUGUUUCUGUUUUUUAUCUGCUGUUAGAAUUGCUGUUUGCUGUUGCAUUUUAAACAAGCAAAAAAGAAGUGGACAUUAAUCAGGUUUUGCUAAAAUAGAAACUAAGAAUGAUUAACUAGCAACCAUGCUGAUAAAGUGCUAUCUAUGUUGUAGAGUUCUUGCCUGAAUGUGUAUGGUUUGUCCUUUAAAAUUAUAAUUGACCAUAAUAUUCUAGAUAUUAGAAUUGCUGCAGACUUAUGUAGAUCACAGUCUGUCCAACAAUUCAAUCCUGAGUGAGAGAGUGGUUUUGUGAUUUUGAUUGUUUAGGGUGGCUUGGUGGGUUUGGUUGAUUAUGAGUUUUGAAUCAAAUGUACUCAUUGUGUAUAUCUGUUUAACUAAGCUUGAUAUUAAUAUACGCAUAUUGUUUUGAGCCAUGUUCUAUCUUUAGCGUAUUUUUUAUUUAUUUUUUACCGAUUUGGAUUCAUUUAUUUGGUUACUUUGAUUUCAAGUUUUGGGGUAAUCCCUAAUGUUUUAUUUAUUUAUUUUUUACGAAUUUGGGUUCAUUCCUUCAGUUACUUUGAUUUCAGGUUCUUGAGUAAUCCCUAUUGCUAUAUAAGAGAAGUUGAGGUAUUUAAAUUUCAGAACAUAUUGGGUUCUAUCAGGAAGGGAAUUGAAUCUCACAGAUUAGCUCAGGUAUUUCCAUCAUUGUUAUUAUUAAUUUUUUAAAUCAAUUGUCAAUUCAAUGACUUUGCUCUCUUUGAGAAAUCUUAGAAAUGGAAAUCAUUCUCAAUUUCUGUUUUUAUUGCAGAUAAAACAUUAGAAAGCAAAAACUAAGGAUGCUUUUUUUUAUUGAAAAAAUUUUCUUUUUUGUUCUGCUGUUGGUUGUUGUAUUCUAAAUAUGGAGAAAAAAAUUAGUGAUAAAACACAAGGAAAAAAGAAGUGAAGACAAAAUAGAAAUUAGGAAUGAUUAACCAGCAACCAUGCUGAUAAAGUGCCAUCUUCCCUUCUUAGAUUGACUCUCCAGCAUAUGAUGUCUGGGAAAACAUAUGGUUUACUUUCUUUGUUCAAUAUGCUUGAUACAUAAAUUCUGAAAAUUGUAUGGCCUGAUUGAGUAGGCAUGCUGUAGAUUUCUUGCUUGAAUAUGUAUGGUUUGUUCUUUAAAAUUACAAUUAAACAUAAUAUUCUAGAUAUUAAGAUUGUCACAAGCUUAUGUAGAUCACAGUUUGUGCAACGAUUUGAUCCUGAGUGAGAGAAAGGUUUUGUGAUUUUGAUUGUCUAGGGUGACUUUUGAUUGAGAUGUUUGAUUGAGUUGUCAAGACAAAGGGAAUGUAAAUCUAGAUCAACACUUAUAGAAAAUUAAAGUUAUAUAUUGAAGUUUUGGGUUUUUAGAAUUAGAGAGGUUGAACAAACAGAAAUCAUGCUACAAUGUACCUGGAAUGAAUAUUUGUGCUGCCUCCUUUAAGAAAUCUUAUCUGUUUAUGUCUUCGACCUGUCCAAGUUAGCAUAUAUUAGUUAAACUGUACAUUAGUAUUUAUCAAGCAGUUUAGAAAGUGUCGCCUUAUAAAACAAGGCUAAAUCCUCUCUCUCCCAAUUUAUUCGCUACAUUGAAGUUGUUUGUUACAGCUAACACUCUUUUUCAAUUGAAGAGUGGUUGUUCUACAUCAUUCUUCACAACUUCAGCUCUUUCUUUACAUAUACUCUCAUUCAUAUAGCCUUCUGUGUUCCCUGUUUCAUUCUUAUUAUCAGAGCAUUGAUUGUUUGCAACAAUAAAAUAUAUGUGUUUGUGUGAGUGAAAAAGAGAAAAAAAAAAAAGAGAAGGGUGGUAGCACUAUACCUUCCAUUCUCAAGUAUUUCUUUCAUAUGAAGAAUUUGUUAGCUGGGAGAUUUUUUGUCAAGAAACUUUCUUUCUUUCAGUUUUUUUGUGAAGAGAUAUUUUGUCAACAGACUUUUGUUUUUCUCAAAAUAGAAAUUGACAAUUAUUUUAUCUUAACCUCUUUUAUCUUAACCGCUUUGGUGUACAUCUUUAUUGUUUCUAGCAGCGGACAGAUCUAGAAUGCUUUUGUAUCAAUUCUUUAUUUAUGUUCUGUAGAAUAAAAUUGUAGUCACAGACCAUUUAGAUUGAUUAAAGAGAGAAACAAACACAUUGGUUUGAUGAAAAUACUAAAUGCAAAACAUACCUGGGUAUAACAACAGCACACAACAUGGUUGAGGUCAUUUGGGACCGUUGUCAGAGUAAAGGCUUUAGCCUAUCAGACAGUAAAUUCAAUACCAGUAACUUGAUUCCCAUAUGUUACUACCACUGAACUCUUGCAUUGGUCAUCAUUGCUUGGGUGUUCCAUUGUAUAAGUUUGAUAAUCACAUGGAUGCUGCAAUGCAAACCCCAAAAUAUUACGAUUGCAAAAGGAUUAUUUAGAAUAUCAGAAUAAAACCAACAAGCCAUACAAAUGUUAUAGAUUGAAAAAUCCCAAAAUACUGAUAAAGUGCCAUCUUCCCUUCUAUGUGUACUCUCUUUAUGGUUCAUGAAACUGUAGUGAAGUAUCUGAAAUUCAAUUUGGUUUAAUGAUAUACCAAUUUAAAUUUCUCUAUCUGAUUAAUGUCAUAGUUUGAGAUAUGCAAUAGAUUUCUUAGGUUCUGACUUCUGAUCUCUUUGCACGAUUUGAUUGUUAGUUAUAGUGUUAGAUAUGGAAUUGAUUUUUAGGUUCUGACUUCUGAUACCAUUACAGUAUUACUAUAGGCAUCUAUAGUAUGGAAUUGAUAUCUUCUUGGUUGAAUUACUUGCUAUUUACUCAUGAGAUUUGAAGUGUUGUAUACUAAUGACUGAUUUGAUUGGAAGCUACAGAUUUUGAAAUGAGGUAUUUCUUCCUUAAAAAUGUUUAUCAAUUAUGUUGUUUGAUAAUUAAAAAAAAAAUGAGUUUUCUAACCCUAAACCCUCUAAUAUCUGAGUAUAUUGUUGAAUCUUUUGGGUGUUUUGUUGAGAUUCAUUUUAGGGUAGAGCUUUUUGUAAUUUAACGAUAACUAUAGAAAUAUUACGGAGUACCAUUGUUUUAUUCUAUUUUGAGCUUAUAAGAGCUGCAUAUUUGACUUUUGGAAUGGGAAUUGAUUUGAAGAACAAAUUUUUUUCAAUUUCAAACCUUAUAAUCCUGUUUCUAUGUUUCCUGUUUGUAUUAUCUGUUACUGCUCCUUUAUCAUGUUUUAUGGAAUAUAUACAUCUACCUUGAUUUCCUCUUCCACCUUGAUGCAAAAUCGAGGUGACAGGGUGUUAAAAGGUUCUUAAGGGAAAGGCCAUCCAUGGUUGAAGAAGGGCAAUGGAUAUACCAUACACCCACCUAAAUGAGGUCAGUUUCUUGACUUACUGGUUACCAAUUGGUUUGGUAGAUUGGCAGGUGUUGUUUGUGUUUAUCAUUGUGGUUGUGUGUUUGUUUGACUUAUGUUUACCAAAAAGGAACUAUCCUAAAGCAAAGAAGCGAAGAUAACUUUUAGGUUAAUGUUUCUUCAUUUUGAUUUAUUUACUUUU
rnacentral:lncRNA from 1 species